UAAAAAGAGGAGAGCUCAUGAGUAAGUGAAAAUAUUUUUGAAUCUUCACAGAAAUGUCUGAAUUCAGUUUCUUGUGUUUCACAGUGAGGGGGGUCAGGCUGGUCAGCACUUUUAUCUGUGACACCACUAAAAAGUCUUUCUGUGAGCUGACAGCGGGCUCCCCUGCCCGGUAGACUUGGGAAGGGGACCCUAAGUCCAAAAAAAAAAAGCGUUCCUGCUGCUUCUCUGUUGGCAGGGUGAGCCGGUAUUCAGGUGUCAUUAGGACACAUUCCUCAUUUACCUUUCCAGCCAGAGGCUUCCUAAAUGUUUCAUAAUCGCUCCACAGCUGGAAUGCAGCUGCUGCUGGGUGGAGCAAACACAACUCCUUCUGGGUCAGCAGGGUGAGGGAGGGUAGGGAAUCUUGGAAGAUUGGGAAAGUCCUUCUUUCUGAAGCCAGCGCUCAGGAAUGAGUGGGGCCUCUGGUGUGAAAACUUUCCAGAUGGGGGAAGGAAGGCUCCCUUUGGAAGCCCAGGUCUUGGCCAGAGUCUCCCCUGCCCAUGUCCACCACCUGGGAGCAGACAGGUGAUGUGAAGGCACACUGAGGUUUGAGAGCAUUGGUUUAGGGCCACG
rnacentral:lncRNA from 1 species